UACGGGGAGGCAGCAGUGGGGGAAUAUUGCACAAUGGGCGCAAGCCUGAUGCAGCCAUGCCGCGUGUGUGAAGAAGGCCUUCGGGUUGUAAAGCACUUUCAGUCGUGAGGAAGGUAGUGUAGUUAAUAGCUGCAUUAUUUGACGUUAGCGACAGAAGAAGCACCGGCUAACUCCGUGCCAGCAGCCGCGGUAAUACGGAGGGUGCGAGCGUUAAUCGGAAUUACUGGGCGUAAAGCGCAUGCAGGUGGUUGUUAAGUCAGAUGUGAAAGCCCGGGGCUCAACCUCGGAAUAGCAUUUGAAACUGGCAGACUAGAGUACUGUAGAGGGGGGUAGGAAUUUCAGGUGUAGCGGUGAAAUGCGUAGAGAUCUGAAGGAAUACCGGUGGCGAAGGCGGCCCCCUGGACAGAUACUGACACUCAGAUGCGAAAGCGUGGGGAGCAAACAGGAUUAGAUACCCUGGUAG
rnacentral:rRNA from 1 species